rnacentral:rRNA from 1 species
UACCAGCACCCCGAGUGGUCGGGGCGAUUAUUGGGCCUAAAGCAUCCGUAGCCGGUUCUACAAGUCUUCCGUUAAAUCUACCUGCUUAACAGAUGGGCUGCGGAGGAUACUAUAGAGCUAGGAGGCGGGAGAGGCAAGCGGUACUUAGUGGGUAGGGGUAAAAUCCGUUGAUCCAUUGAAGACCACCAGUGGCGAAGGCGGCUUGCCAGAACGCACUCGACGGUGAGGGAUGAAAGCUGGGGGAGCAAACCGG